rnacentral:rRNA from 1 species
UUAAUAGUAAAAUCUGCUCAAUGAUAAUUAAAUAGCCGCAAUUAGUGCUAAGGUAGCAUAAUCAUUUGUCUUUUAAAUGAAGACUAGAACAAAAGAUUUAACAUUUUUAUCUAUAUAUUUUAUAUAAAAUCUUAAUUUAUUGUAAGUGUAAAAAAACACUUAUAUAUUAAAUAGACGACAAGACCCUAUUGAACUUAACUUUAGUUAAACUGGGGCAGUUAGUCAAUUAUCAUUUUAAUUUAAAAACUUAGAAAUAAAUCUAAACAAUUAAUAAACCAGUUACCAUAGGGAUAACAGCGCAAUUAUAUUUUAAAGUUCUUAUAUAAAAUAUAGAUUACGACCUCGAUGUUGAAUUAAUAACCUAAUUAAAGCAAAUUUUAAUAAAGGAAGUCUGUUCGACUUUUAAAAAAUUACAUGAUUUGAGUUCAGACCGGUAUAAGCCAGGUCGGCUUCCAUCUUUUUUAAAAAAUUUUACAGUACGAAAGGACCUAAAAACUUAAUUAAAUUAUUUUAUUAGCAAAUAAAUGCAUUAGAAUUAGAAUCUAAAAAAACU